UUCACAGCUGUAGCACAAACAGAUUUGAAGGAGCCGCUGAAAGUUCUUGGCAUUACUGACAUGUUUGAUUCAUCAAAGGCAAAUUUUGCAAAAAUAACAAGUAUGUUCAAUUUAAAAUGUAUUUGUAUACUUGAAGAAAGUGUUACAAACUGAGACUGAUUUGUGCAGAGAAAAAGGAUCAGAAUUAGGAAUGUGUUGCCCUGAAACUGUACAAGGUUUCAUUUGAUACAUUGCCAAAUUAUGCUAUUGGCCUUCGUUUAUUUAUUGACCUUCAUUUAUUUAUUUUUUCCUUUUAUCUUUUUAUUUCAAUAGUUUUUGGGAUACAAGUGGUUUUUGGUUACAUGGAUCAGUUUAUAUAGCGAUGAAGUCUGAGAUUUUAGUACACCCCUCCCCCGAGUAGUAUACGUUGUACUCAAUAUGUAUUAAUAGAUUUUUAGCUCCUCACCAACCCACCCUCCUCCUUCUGAGUCUCCAUAAUCCAUUAUACCACUCCGUAUGCCUUUGCAUACCCGUAGCUUAUCUCCCACUUACAAGCGAGAACAUACAGUAUUUGGUUUUCCAUUCUUGAGUUACUUCAUUUAGAAUAAUGGCCUCCAGCUCCAUUCAAGUUGCUGCAAAAGAUAUUAUUUCAUUCUUUUUAUGACUGAGUAGUAUUCCAUGAUGUGUACAUACCUCAUUUUCUUUAUCUAGUCAUUGCUCUUGACCUUCAUUUAAAUCAGCGUCCCCACAUUUUGCACGUACAUUUCAUGGGAAGCCCCAGUGACUACCUAAAGGAGUAUUUCAUGUAUUGCUUUUAUGAAUAUUGGCUCUGACUUAGGUGUUGUCGCUCUGUUUUCAAAUGCCAACUUUUUCCUUUUGCUUGAAAAAAAGUCAAGACUGCAGUCAUUCACUGUACCCAGAUAUGUAUUUUGGCAUUUCAUGCUCAUUAAUAUGAAACGAUAUAAAUUCAAAUGAAUCUGAUUAAAACUUUCCUUUGCCAAAGCAAUUAAGGCAUGCUUUUCAUUUGCCAGCAGUAUAUGUACCUUUUUCUAGAGUUAUGUUUGAAUGGUCAGUCCUUUGUUCUUUAAAUUUAGAACAUAGCAAUCUUUCCAAGGAAAAGCCAUGGCUUGAACAUUAUUUGCACUCCAGUUUGCAAAUAACUUUGAGUGGUAAGAAAUUAGCUCAUUACCAGCUUCAGUUGCAUGCUAGUAAACACCUAGUACCUGUUCUGGGGACAAACAUGACUCCCCUGGUGAACCUGCAGCUCCAUGGAUAUUCUGAUAGCCGUUCAUCCCUCAUGACUCAAACUCAGGCCUCCAGCCCAGCAGCAUUAGCAUCACCCAGGAGCUUGUUUGAAAUGCACAAUCUUGGGUGUAACCCAGACCCACUGAACCAGAAUCCAUUUUAACACAGUCCCUCAGCCCAGCAAAGACUGAGAAGCACCAUUUUCAUCUGCACUUUUCCCUUCAAGGUUGUUCAUGGUAGCUGAAAUACUAAAUGGGGGGUGUUCACAGGAAGAACCAGGUGCCCCAGAUUCUCCUGGAAAGUCCUCUUUAACACUGCAUGUGACUUGGGCCCUAUAAAUGUGCAUCUCAGUCACAAUUUGGUCAUAUUAGAGCUGGGCAUUGGUGCAGAUAGUUCACAAGCAGAUGACACAAAAAGCACAUUUUCCCUUUGCAUCCAGACCUAUGUCCCAUCCAGACUAAUAUCAACUUAAGUUUUUCAUUCUCUGUGAAAGCUACACCCAGUGGGUGUUGCUGGAAUGGUCAGAAUUUGCUGAGAAGUAAAGUGAGUUCACCAGAAUGUCCCUGAGGCACAACUGCAUUUACACAUCGGCCCUUCCAGGAAAAUCUAAACUCUUCUCUUGUUCGACACUCUUCUCUUACUAGCAUGCCCAUGAGAUGAGUGGCUGUUGUGAAGAGCCAGGACUUACUCUGCCACUAACUAGCCGUAUGAUUGCAGGGAACAUUACUUAACGUUCUAGGCCUCAGUUUCCCCAUCUGUAAAUGCUGUCUGAAAUCCCUUCUGCAUCUGCAUUCUGUAACUGAAAAAUAAUCUUGUUGCCUUGCUGCUUCCAGAAAACCGGGCUUCCUUUUUAAAGCUCUGCUCUUUUCAUUUUUAAAAAACAAUUCUAGUGAUCAGAAUUGAAUUGAUAGAGGCACUAAAUCAUUUGAGGGCCUGGGCCCUUCUCCAGAAGUGAGUAUCACAGUUCACUUAGCAGGGACUGAAAUUCACAAGUAACAGCUGUCUGCAGCCUUCAACACCAGGACUGUCAGAGGUCAUGUCUUCUGACACUUUAAAAAUUGGAAUUUGCCAUGGCUUUGAGCUUUGAGGUUACUUCCCCAACCAACCAAUGGCCUGCCUAUCAAACAAAUGCUGAUACUGUUUUAUUUUCUGGAAGCAGGGUCAGAAAACCUCCAUGUUUCUCAUAUCUUGCAAAAAGCAAAAAUUGAAGUCAGUGAAGAUGGAACCAAAGCUUCAGCAGCAACAAGUAAGCACUGGGUCACGUGGCAGGGCUUCCUCUAGCAGGGGAGCAAACACAUUCCUGUAUACUCAUUGGUUGAGCAAAUAUGUAAUGCACCCUCUUUCCAGCCAGGCAGUGUGUGUGGGUUAACCCUCAGGAGACAGCAGUGAGUACAGACAGACUGAAGACCUGUAACCACAAAGCUCAGAAUCUGUUUCAUUAAAGAAAAGCAUUUCAGUGAGAGAAAUUCCUCUAGGACAGGAGUCAGCAAACUUCUAUAAAGAGCCAGGUAGUAUGUAUUUCAGAUUUGUGUGUCAUACCAUCUCCAUUACAGCUUCUUAGCUCUUUCACUGUAGCAUGAAAACAGCAAUCAACAAUACAAGUAAACAGAUGUGGCUGUGUUCCAAUAAAACUUUAUUUAUAAAAACAGGAUUUGUCCUGGUAGACUUGCCUUGAGGAAAAUAGUUUGCUGACCCCUGCUCUCAGGAGGAUAAAACAUGUUCUGGCUUCUUACUGGCAAAAAAGACCAAUCUUCAGAUUUGAACAUAAAAUAAACAACAAGUACUUAAAGGAAAAUAGGCAAUCAGGUCUAUCCAGGAUAAACCGAAGAAUUCGCCAGCAUCUGUUGAAUUGCGGCAGGAUUGCUGUACAGCCUUCCUUGAUAAUUAGAACAUCCACAUCUGCUUCCUCCUCAGUGGUUUACAUAAUGAAGGAGAAAACAGAACAAUCGUAAGUCAGUUUUUUCACCCCUCAUUAUCCGUAGGAAAAUAGAUGAAUAGAUUUGGCCAACUCUGUGAGCCCAUAAAGUGAAAAUCUUAGCUACACUUGCAGCUGGGUCAAAUAUCUCUGGUCAUUGAAACAUACCAGUUAUACUCACAAUAGAUGUGUUAUUGCCUUUCUCGAAUAAACGUUUUAAAAAUUCCUUUAAAGAAGCAUUUAAAACAAAGACCCUGAAAUAAGAGGGUUGGAAAUUUUAAGAUGCUUUUUGUCUUUUCUAGGUAAUUUUAAGUAACAUCUAAAAGUUAUUGACCAGUUUUGCUGAGUGUAACUAUCAGGACCAGCUACAUAGUUUGUGGGGUCCUGUGCCAAAUGAAAAUAUGGAGCCCCUUGUUCAAAAUGUAUAAGAAUUUCAAGAUAGCAACAGCAGAGUAUUAAACCCAGUGCAGGGCCCCAUGUAACCGCCCAGGUCCUCCUGUCUUAGUCCGCCUGGGCUGCCAUGACAAAAUACCGUUGACUGAGUGGUUUAAACAACAGAACUCACACUUCUGGAGGCUGCGAGUUCAAGAUCAAGGUGUUGGUGUUGGCAGGUUUGUUUCUCCUGAGAUCUCUGGAUCUCCGGAGGUCGCCCCCUCCCUGUGUCCUCACAUGGUCUUUUCUCCAUGUGACACAUCCCUGGUGUCUCUCCCACUUCAAAUAAGGGCAACGGUCCUAUUAGAAUAGAACCCUACUUAACCUUCAUUACCUCCUCAAAGGCAUUAUCUCCAAAUACAGUUACGUUAGGGGUUUGGGGCUUCAGCAUAUGAAUUUGGGGGGAGACACAUUUCAGUCCAUAACACCUGCUAUUUAAUAUUUGUUUUUAAUAACCCUGGGUAAAAGGGCUUGCCCCAGCAUAACUGCAGCUGUUUCCUUUAUAACAUCAAGCCCAAGUGUUCAAUACUUCAUGGGGUUUGAGCAAGAGGACUGAGCUAUUGCAACAGGCAUGUGGUAGUAAUGCCACACACCUACCCUCCCGUGAGGCCCUGGUUCAGGCUUAUUAAAUGGAAACAAGCCUGGCAGACGAGGAAUGGCCAAGACCCAUGAGGCUAAAGAAGUUUGCUUUCCAAGUCAGAUGCCUACACCUGGUGAGUGGAACAGCAGUAUAAGGUAGUAGGUCCCGGAUGAGUGGUCUACAUUCCAGUGCAGAGGAAACCUAAAUAAUGUGCCAAAGGAGAAGGCACAGACACAAAAGCUAAGAAUUGGACUGGGCCUUUAUAUACAGAAAAGAUUUAGAGAAGCUAAACAGGACCAGGGGUCGGGCGCGGUGGCUCAUGCCUGUAAUGCCCGCACUUUGGGAGGCUGAGGCAGGUGGAUCACUUGAGGUCAGGAGUUCAAAACCAGCGUGACCAACAUAGUGAAACCCUGUCUCUAAAAAUACAAAAAUUAGCCAGGCGUGGUGGUGCAUGCCUGUAAUCCCAGCUACUCAGGAGGCUGAGGCAGGAGAAUCGCUUGAACCCGGGAGGCAAAGGUUGCAGUGAGCCAAGAUCGCGCCACUGCACUCCAGCCUGGGUGACAGAGUGAGACUCCAUCCCCAAAAAAAAGGACUGGGGGCUUUAUCAGCAAAGCAGAUGGUGUGAAUAAAAAAUAGCUAAUAACAAUAAAUAUGCAUUAGAUGUGUUUAGUGGCAAACACUGUUCUAAGAGCUAUAAUAUAUCUUAUGUCAUUUAAUUAUGUCAUUUAAUUCUCAUCAAAACUCUAUGAGGAGUAAGUAUGUUUAUCAGAGAUGGUGCUUGUGUAGAAGACAUGAGAGAGUAAUGUAAAGGGCCUGGCCCAAGGUAGGCUUAGUAAAUGGUGACCAUUGAGCCUGUUGUAACAUGGCCAGCCUAUGGAACAAGCAUGAAGUGUGUCUUCAGACACCAGCCUCUGAGGGUCCAUGAAGCUAGCUAACUUGCUGGCCUUAUGCUUACAUGGUCUCAUGUAAUGUGCACAACACAUUUUCCUUUUCUUCCCGUAGCUGCAAUUCUCAUUGCAAGAUCAUCGCCUCCCUGGUUUAUAGUAGACAGACCUUUUCUGUUUUUCAUCCGACAUAAUCCUACAGGUGCUGUGUUAUUCAUGGGGCAGAUAAACAAACCCUGAAGAGUAUACAAAAGAAACCAUGCAAAGCAACGACUACUUUGCUACGAAGAAAGACUCCUUUCCUGCAUCUUUCAUAGUUCUGUUAAAUAUUUUUGUACAUCGCUUCUUUUUCAAAACUAGUUCUUAGGAACAGACUCGAUGCAAGUGUUUCUGUUCUGGGAGGUAUUGGAGGGAAAAAACAAGCAGGAUGGCUGGAACACUGUACUGAGGAAUGAAUAGAAAGGCUUCCAGAUGUCUAAAAGAUUCUUUAAACUACUGAACUGUUACCUAGGUUAACAACCCUGUUGAGUAUUUGCUGUUUGUCCAGUUCAGGAAUUUUUGUUUUGUUUUGUCUAUAUGUGCGGCUUUUCAGAAGAAAUUUAAUCAGUGUGACAGAAAAAAAAAUGUUUUAUGGUAGCUUUUACUUUUUAUGAAAAAAAAAUUAUUUGCCUUUUAAAUUCUUUUCCCCCAUCCCCCUCCAAAGUCUUGAUAGCAAGCGUUAUUUUGGUGGUAGAAACGGUGAAAUCUCUAGCCUCUUUGUGUUUUUGUUGUUGUUGUUGUUGUUGUUUUAUAUAAUGCAUGUAUUCACUAAAAUAAAAUUUAAAAAACUCCUGUCUUGCUAGACAAGGUUGCUGUUGUGCAGUGUGCCUGUCACUACUGGUCUGUACUCCUUGGAUUUGCAUUUUUGUAUUUUGUACAAAGUAAAAAUAAACUGUUAUGAGUAGUAAAAAUAAA
rnacentral:lncRNA from 1 species